rnacentral:rRNA from 1 species
CGAUUGAAACUUUAGCGUCUCUGGGGGUGCCGAUUGGGUACUUGUAGUGUUGUGCUCCCACACUUCCGUUACAGGGGUAGGGGGCGUUCAGUACUGCUUUUGUCCAGUUCGAUCCCUGGAGGUUGGUCAGCAUCAGUGAACUGACUGACUAUACUCCCCGAGGAAGGUAGGUCUCUCGUGGGCUGUUAUAGCCUCUGGGUUUGUGUUCAGUUGUUCACUGAGGUGUGUUUUUUUUUGCGUUCGUCAGCUUCACUUUCGAGUACUGACGUUCUGCGAUGCUGUCCUUAACGGUUUCAACCGACCCGUCUUGAAACACGGACCAAGGAGUCUAACAUAUGUGCGAGUAUGCGGGCCGAACCCCUGUAUGCACAAUGAAAGUGAGAGUAGGGAGAGGUUUGUUUUUUUGGCAUGCCUCGCACCUACGACCGACCACGAGCUUUGCGAGAGGUUUGAGUUGUAGCACAUCUGUUAGGACCCGAAAGAUGGUGAACUAUGCCUGAGUAGGGUGAAGUCAGGCGAAAGCCUGAUGGAGGCUCGUAGCGAUACUGACGUGCAAAUCGUUCGUCAAACUUGGGUAUAGGGGCGAAAGAC